GACGAACGCUGGCGGCGUGCUUAACACAUGCAAGUCGAACGAAGUGGCGAACGGGUGAGUAACGCGUAAUCAAACUGCCCUUCAGAGGGGGACAACAGUUGGAAACGACUGCUAAUACCGCAUACUGAUGGAGGGGAGUGCUUCUGAUUAGCUAGGUGGAGGGGGAACGGCCCACCAAGGCGAGGAUCAGUAGCCGGUCUUAGAGGAUGAAGGGGCAAAUUGGGACUGAGAAACGGCCCAGACGCCUACGGGGGGCAGCCGUGGGGAAUCUUCCGCAAUGGACGAAAAUUUGACGGAGCAACGCCGCGUGAGUGAUGACGGCCUUCGGGUUGUAAAGCGCUGUUAAUCGGGACGCGGUACCGGAAUAGAAAGCCACGGCUAACUACGUGCCAGCAGCCGCGGUAAUUC
rnacentral:rRNA from 1 species